GAUGAACGCUGGCGGCGUGCCUAAUUCAUGCAAGUCGAGCGAACGGACGAGAAGCUUGCUUCUCUGAUGUUAGCGGCGGACGGGUGAGUAACACGUGGAUAACCUACCUAUAAGACUGGGAUAACUUCGGGAAACCGGAGCUAAUACCGGAUAAUAUUUUGAACCGCAUGGUUCAAAAGUAAAAGACGGUCUUGCUGUCACUUAUAGAUGGAUCCGCGCUGCAUUAGCUAGUUGGUAAGGUAACGGCUUACCAAGGCAACGAUGCAUAGCCGACCUGAGAGGGUGAUCGGCCACACUGGAACUGAGACACGGUCCAGACUCCUACGGGAGGCAGCAGUAGGGAAUCUUCCGCAAUGGGCGAAAGCCUGACGGAGCAACGCCGCGUGAGUGAUGAAGGUCUUCGGAUCGUAAAACUCUGUUAUUAGGGAAGAACAUAUGUGUAAGUAACUGUGCACAUCUUGACGGUACCUAAUCAGAAAGCCACGGCUAACUACGUG
rnacentral:rRNA from 1 species